UUCAUUAUGCUUAUAUUCAAACCCUCUUCUUCUUCUUUGUAUACUUUGAUAAUUCCUCCUUUCCUCUCUUUCUCCAAUUAUAAAUAAAUAGAAGGUUGCCUUACAACUUCCUAGACUACAAAGCAACAUUGUAUUGAUACACAAGUGAGGCAACUUAAAUGGAGGUCAUACAAUAUCAUUCCGGGCUUGAUUAAAUGGAGGUCAUUCAACAGCUUCUCUAUUAUGAUUUGCUCUAUUGUGCAUAAUGUCAAACUUCGACCGUGAUUUCUUUUAUUAAUAAAUAAUAAGAUAAGCGAGUGCAAAAAGGCAAGGGCGUUGCAGACUGAUUUGGAACGGAUGACUAAUUAUUGAAUCUUGCUAUUUUGUUAUGUGUUAAGUUUAUGGAUCUUUGUUAACGUUUUAUUUUGGAUUACCCAACUAUGUAAUUUUUCUUUUGAUGUCUUGAACUAAAUUGUAGUCAAGGUUGUCGAUUUUUGGUGUUAAUCCUCGUUCGUGUCUUGGAACCAAUGUUUAUCUUUGUAUCUAAAUUUAGAACGCCCAAUUUCAUGGAUUUCCAGUGUUAUGCUAAUAUUUGCUAUUUUCAUAAGCAAGAGGCUUUAAGUUUGAGAUACUAAAAACAAUACACAUCUUUUAUUGUAACUCAUAUGCCACUCUAUUUUUCUUACUCGUUUGCAAUGCAUGCAUAAAUUA